rnacentral:rRNA from 1 species
AUUGAACGCUGGCGGCAUGCCUUACACAUGCAAGUCGAACGGUAACGGGCCUUCGGGUGCCGACGAGUGGCGAACGGGUGAGUAAUGCAUCGGAACGUACCUUUCAGUGGGGGAUAACGUAGCGAAAGUUACGCUAAUACCGCAUAUUCUGUGAGCAGGAAAGCAGGGGAUCGCAAGACCUUGCGCUGAUUGAGCGGCCGAUGUCAGAUUAGCUAGUUGGUGAGGUAAAGGCUCACCAAGGCGACGAUCUGUAGCGGGGUCUGAGAGGAUGAUCCGCCACACUGGAACUGAGACACGGUCCAGACUCCUACGGGAGGCAGCAGUGGGGAAUUUUUGGGACAAUGGGGG